rnacentral:rRNA from 1 species
GAUGAAUGCUAGCUACAGGCUUAACACAUGCAAGUCGAGGGGAAACGACAUCGAAAGCUUGCUUUUGAUGGGCGUCGACCGGCGCACGGGUGAGUAACGCGUAUCCAACCUGCCCAUCACUUGGGGAUAACCUUGCGAAAGUAAGACUAAUACCCAAUGAUAUCUCUAGAAGACAUCUGAAAGAGAUUAAAGAUUUAUCGGUGAUGGAUGGGGAUGCGUCUGAUUAGCUUGUUGGCGGGGUAACGGCCCACCAAGGCAACGAUCAGUAGGGGUUCUGAGAGGAAGGUCCCCCACAUUGGAACUGAGACACGGUCCAAACUCCUACGGGAGGCAGCAGUGAGGAAUAUUGGUCAAUGGGCGAGAGCCUGAACCAGCCAAGUAGCGUGCAGGAAGACGGCCCUAUGGGUUGUAAACUGCUUUUAUAAGGGAAUAAAGUGAGAGUCGUGACUCUUUUUGUAUGUACCUUAUGAAUAAGGACCGGCUAAUUCCGUG